AUCCCAACUUCCUGUUAUCACCAAAUUCCAAGUCAAAGCAUUUUUAGCCUGUGUUUAGACACUGUAAACACAUUCUCUGAGACUCUUCCUGUGUGCCUGUGUGUCUGUCUCUCUGUGCAUCUCUGUCUCUGUCUCUGUCUCUGUCUCUGUCUCUGACUCCCUCUCUCUGUCAGGAAUAUUGCAGCAUGACUGGGAAGCCUGUCCUUCAUUACUUCAAUUGAAGAAGAAGAAUGGAGUCCAUCCGGUGGCUCCUGGCAGCAGCUGGAGUAGAGUUUGAGGAAGAACUUUUUGAAACCCAUGAAGAGUUUGAGAAGUUAAUCCAAGGUGGAACCCUGAUGUACGAGCAAGUGCCCAUGGUGGAAAUCGAUGGAAUGACUUUGGUGCAGACCAGUGCCAUCUUAAGAUAUGUAGCUGCAAAAUAUGACUUGUAUGGAAGGAACCUGGAGGAACAAGCCUGAAGAGAAGGAGAUGAACCUUGAAUACAUCCUCCACCGAGCUACAACAAGAUUCUUCCCCGUUUAUGAGAAGGCCCUGAGAGACCACGGGCAAGACUUUCUUGUGGGCAAUCGGCUGAGCUUGGCUGAUGUCCAGCUCCUUGAAGUCAUCUUAAUGGCUGAAGAAUGCAAAGCCAGUGUUCUCUCGGGUUUCCCUCUGCUACAGGACUUCAAGGUGAGAACCAGCCAAAUUCCUACAAUUAACAGCUUCCUCCAACCUGGAAGCCAGAGGAAGCCUCCUUUGGAGGAGCGAUCCAUUGGGACUGCAAAGGACAUAUUCAAAUUUGAAUGAGGACUGUUUCUUAAAAACAUGAGCAAUAUAGUAGCUGAGUAUUAACAGCUACAGAGGCUGGAGUUACUCAGUAAGUAUACUGAGUAACUUGACACUGCAUUCAUAAAAAGACACUCACUAAGUAUAUGGCCAGAGAAAUAUCCUGAAGUUAGUAAUAAAUGUUAGGAAUCUUAGUAUGUUAGCAAUGUUAGAAUGUUAGUAAUGGAAAUAUUAAAUGUGUAAGAGAAAAACUACUAGAAGCUUAUCAAUAAACUACAAGAACCAACUCUUGUUUGAAGUAAGACAGGCUACCAAGACAGAAUUCAGAAAAUCCAAGGAGCCCUCGGCCUUCUGUAUGAUCCUAGAAUAAACUUGUAUGUAGC